rnacentral:rRNA from 1 species
UACGUAGGGCGCAAGCGUUGUCCGGAAUUAUUGGGCGUAAAGAGCUCGUAGGCGGCCUGUUGCGUCCGCUGUGAAAUCCCGGGGCUCAACCCCGGGCCUGCAGUGGGUACGGGCAGACUAGAGUGAUGUAGGGGAGACUGGAAUUCCUGGUGUAGCGGUGAAAUGCGCAGAUAUCAGGAGGAACACCGAUGGCGAAGGCAGGUCUCUGGGCCGAUACUGACGCUGAGGAGCGAAAGCGUGGGGAGCGAACAGG